rnacentral:lncRNA from 1 species
UUCUUACCAAGAAACCACUUCGUCGUUUAGGGAAUAGGGUGGGAUGGCGAAAGGGACAGGAAGUGGCCUCUGUAGCCACCUGUUCCUUUCCCAACUUUUCAUCACAAGGCCAGUGUAUUUAGGGUAAUUGCCCCUUCCAAACGGUAUCCUGGACCUUCCCCUUCCCUCCCCUUGAGUGUGUUAUGAAUUAAAGCCUAUAUUGAAAAGAAUGGAGCAGAGGUAUGUUGUUAUUGAUUUGGGUGUUUUGGGGUAUUUUCCUAGAGGACGGUUUUCUGUGUGGUCUCCCUGCCUUGUUAGGUGUGUGUUAGUUGUGGACAGGAGACUGGUGGGUGACUGCGGACCUCACCUGUGCUGAAGGGCCCUGGAGAGGAGUCUGAUCUGUUAAUCUGAGGGAGACUUGCGAAAAGUCAGAAAUGUUUUAACCAGACAUGACGUAGCAGAGAGGACUCAUGGCAUAUCAGCAUGGUUGAGGGGUAGAGAAAGAUGUGGGAAAUGAGUUGCUGGAAGGAAAUAAAGGGAGCCCUUCAGUUCUGCAGACUUGCUGGUGAAAAUGUCCAGAGAGACCUACAUGCAGACAAUAUAAGGUGUUGCUUACUGUUUAAGUUGCAGAGAAGAGCUGUCUCUGUUCAGACACCAAGAUAGAUGAUCAAAAUAGCUACAUGUAAGAAAGUUGAAACUCUGUGUUAUGUUAAAGUUAUAAAAAUCUAGAUCAAUAUUUGUAUAAGUCAAAAGUACUGCAGUCUUUUCAGAAAAGCAUUUGUGAAAAAGCAAACAAAUAGUAUCAAGCCAUGGCAGACAACUUUAAAUGCUAUCCCUAAGUGAUAGUCUUCUGAAUAAAACCUGUCUUAAGAAAACACCACAGGAAAUACAGUGGUGAGUCUUGUUAACUAUGAAAAGAACUUUUGCAACUUCGGAAACUUGGUGUCUGUUAAAUUUCAAGAUGGUGACGAGCAACUCAUUCCAUUAUGUUAGCAGAAUGUUAUUCAGCAGUUAUUUAAUUUAUUGAAACUACUUUCUUUUUUUUUUUUUUUGCAUCUUUUUUUUUUUUUCCCCACUGUAUAGCAAGGGGGUCAGGUUAUCCUUACAUGUAUACAUUACAAUUACAGUUUUUUCCCCACCCUUUCUUCUGUUGCAACAUGAGUAUCUAGACAUAGUUCUCAAUGCUAUUCAGCAGGAUCUCCUUGUAAAUCUAUUCUAAGUUGUAUCUGAUAAGCCCAAGCUGCCGAUCCCUCCCACUCUCUCCCCCUCCAUGAGUACAAUCCAGGGUAGAGUUGCACAGCAGGAAAACAUUAAUAACCCUGGGACAAUUACUAAGGCUUUAGUGUCACUGCAAUGUUUCUUAAUUUCCUCUUCUUACCCAGUUUAGUAAAACAAGGUGUCUUUCUCCCAGCAUCUUCCUUGCCAUACCUUUCAUUACUAAUGAUAACACCACCACUGCUUGUUUCCAUGUGCCAGCUCUGAGCUAAGGACCAACUCAAUGAGCCUCUCUCUCAGUUCCAUGAGGUAGGUGCUGUUAUUAUCCUCAUUUGCAAGUGAGGCACAGACAGGUUAAAUAACUGCUGCAAGCAAGUUGUGGACCCAAGAUCCAGAUCUACAAGUGUCGGGUCACCAAGACCUGCCUGUUACUUGGGAGGCUCUGCUGUGCUUUGUUAGUGUGUGUGGCUCCCAGCUCCUGCAUUAUUCUGAUAGCAGGGACUCAACCUCACCACUAUUGACAUUUUGGGUGGGAUAAGUCUCUGCUAGGAGGGCUGUCCUUCGUGUCAUAGAAUGUUUAGCAGCAUCCCUGGCCUCUACUCACUAGCUACCAAUAGCAUUCUCCUAGAGCAACAAUCAAAAAUGUCUCCAUUACCACAAAUGCCGUGGGGGGCAAAAUUGCUAUCAGUUGCAAACCACUGUGCUAGAUAAAUAUGUAAACAGUUGCUGUGGGUGUCUGGCACUUUCACACAUAUGACCGCAUUUAAUGCUUACGAAGAUCUCUGCUUAAGGUGUUAUUAUUAUCUUCGAUUUUAUAGGUAGAAUGUAAGGACAAGGGGAGGGACUAAAUCAAUCAAUUUAGCAACAUCUCAUCUCUGCUAAUUUACCAGCCAUGGGCUAGUUGUUUAAUUGUAUUGAAAUGCAGUCUUCCCAUGGGCAAAAUUGGGUAACUAUCCCAAAGGGUUUUCAUGGGGUUUUGGCAUAGGGUUUGUAUAAAUGGCCACCAAGAGGGAGAGAUAGUUCUUCGUACCCUGCAGCUAAGGUUUGGCAUUAGGUCAAUUUUCCAAACUGCCUUGUUAUCCAGGAUGCCAACAAUGUGUGCUUGGCCCCUGUGUAGCCUCCAAAUGAUUCCGUCUCUGAUUCUUCCUCUCCACAUGUUGCUUUCCAGCCUGAGGUCAUGUGUGUCUGACUGUGCCACCUACCAUAGUACAGUAAGGAGUGCCCAUUAACAAUAGUCCUGCCAAAGGCUGAAUGGAUUGUUGCAGGCUUUCGAAUGUCAUUUUAUCCCGCAGUCUGUGAUGAGGUAUUUUUGUCUCCUGGUUAGCUAUGUACUUGCCCAUACAUAGACAAUGAUUUUUAAGUAUAAUGGUAGCUAUUUUUCAGGACCAGAUUUAUAAUGUGCUUGCAGUUGUAAGACUUCGCCUAGUUGGUGAUAAUAAUUACAUUAUAUGCUGCAUAUUUAUGACUCCCCAUCUCAGCUGGGCAUCCCUGAGUUCUUGGAGUGUGUUUUAGUCUUCUUCCAUCUUCUAAAUAACUGUUCCAAGCCUUUGCUCAUCUCCAUUCAAGCCUCCACUCUACCCCCUCUUCAUUCCAUGUUCUGACAAGACUGCUUCUGUUGUAACCUCCCCUCCACAAAGGAUUUUCUCUCAGGCAGGUGGGACCCUCACCUGCUUUCGGAGCUCAGCAUCCUGCUCUCCUGUUUCAUGAAGACAAGAUGCUGCUCCAUCAGUUAUCCUCAGUCUCCUAUAUCUCCAGCCUCCAAUAUCCCUUCCUUAAUUUGGGUCCUCAUCACCCCUCACCUCACCUCCGGCAAUGAUGUCCUAAUGAUCUCCUUGUCUUUAAACUCAUGGUCCUUUAAUUCAUCCUCCUCAUUGCUUGCUGAUGCCAUCUUGCUAAAAAAGCAACUCCGGUCAUUACUCCUUUUCUUAAAAUCUUUUAGUGCCUCCUUGUCACUUUCAAGGUAAAGUUCAAAGUUAGCUUAAACAUAUGGCUCCUGUCAGCCUCUCUUGUCUUACUACCACUUCGCUAUAGUAUCUAUGUUACAGGAAUAUAGACUAAUUGUAGAUAGAUGCUUGAAUGUUCCAUAUCCAUGUCACUUCAUGAAUGUAUUUCUGUACUACCUACACCUACCUAGAAUGCACUCCCCAUUUUUCUCUGCUUGCUAAUUCCUACUAAACAUAUCAUUCUCACCCUAAGUGUUACCUUUUUUUUUUUUUUUGUCUUUUUGCUAUUUCUUGGGCCGCUCCUGCAUCAUAUGGAGUUUCCCAGGCUAGGGGUCGAAUCGGAGCUGCAGCCACCGGCCUACGCCAGAGCCACAGCAACACGGGAUCCGAGCUGUGUCUGCAACCUACACCACAGCUCACAGCAACGCUGGAUCGUUAACCCACUGAGCAAGGGCAGGGACCGAACCCUCAACCCCAUGGUUCCUAGUCGGAUUUGUUAACCACUGCGCCACGAUGGGAACUCCUAAGUGUCACCUUUUUAAGCCUCUCUGGAUCAGUUAAGUGCUUCUACUCUGGACUCAUCUAUGAUAUGCCAAGACCCCAGGCUUAUCUUCUCGUUACAGUUAACUAUAUUGUUGUAAGAGUAGUUAUUCCUCUGCCUGCUCUCUAACGGGCAGAUACUCACCUCUGCAUCCCUAUCAUUUUCUGGGAUCCAGCAAUAGUUACAUGUAAUAAGUGAUUGCUGGAUGAAUUUUAUGAGGCUUUGAAGUUGAAGAAGGAACUUCACAUUUGAGCUUUGCCCCAAACUUGUCCACUGGCCAUAUAUGCUACUAUUUGUUAAGGACCUACUGUGCCAAGACAGCCAGCUUUCUGUGGAAACCCUAAUUGUGGUAGGAAUUUUGUAUGUGGCAAGAACAACCAUACUAAUAAUUUUAUUGGGCCAAAGGGCACAGUUACUUUGCCUGGAGUGGUAUGUUUGGUGGCAGGCAUAGAAUGUAUGGUGAUAUGCUUUCAAUCAUUUGUUCCCCCCAUAGAGUGUGACCAAAAUCUUUCUCUGUGAGAUUAACAAUAACUAGAAGCUCUGUUCUCAGAGGGUCUAAAAUUGAGUUAAACAGUUAAGACUAUAAGGACAAGAAAUGUUUAGAGCCAAUAUGAGAGUGAAGAAACAAUGUAGGAAUCCAAGAUAUGUCACAAAGUACUAGAUAGUUUAAUUGCUAACUAAAUCAUAUAGGCAGGUUUUUUUCCCCCCAAUGCGAUGUUUCUAAAAACAUAUUCCAAGUUGAGAAAAAUCAUAUUUAUUUAUUCAUAGAAUGCGAUGGCAGUGGGGGUGGGGGGAAGAAGGGGGAGACAGAGGGCAUGGUGGUGGUGGUGAUAUGUGGCUAGAUUGGCUAAGAUUCCUGGCCAUUGGCUCAAGAGCCACUUAUUACCUAGAAUAAAUGUUAUGGGUUGGGUUGUGUUCCCUCAAAAAGAUGUGUUGAAGUCCCAACUCCUAGGCUCUCAGAAAGUGACUUUAUCUGGAAAUAAGGUCUUAUCUAAUCAGAGGUUAUCAAGUUAAAAUGAGGUCACUAUAGUGGGAACUAUUCCAAUAUGACUGAUGUCAAGGAGAAAUUUAGAUGCAGAGAGAGACACAAAGAGAGGACAACAAUAUGAAGACCUGAAGUGAGAAGUCAGCCAUGUGACUGGAGUGGUACCAAGGAGUGCCAUCAGCACCAGAAGCGAGAAGAGGCAAAGAAGAAUCUUUUUCUAACACCUUCAUAUGGACCCUACUGACACCCUGAUUUCAGACUUCUAGCUUCCAGAACUGUACAAUAAUAAAUUUAUAUUAU